GUGAAGUAAAUCCAGAUCCUUUUUAUUUAUUAAAAAAAUCAAAUGUAUCCCAACCUGUUUGUCUAAGCGAAAAAAUGAGCGACUGUACGUCUGGAUAUAGUAUAAAUACGGUGGUGUCUCAAGUGUACAGCAUCAUUCAGGAUCAAGUAAUCCAGAAGACAAACAAUCAAUCAAAAUGAAAUUCAUCCUCUUAGCUCUUGCUUUCAUCGGCAUGGCCUCUGCCGUUUAUGUUGCUCCCUAUGGUGGGUUGGGAUACUCUAGCUGGGGACAUGCUCCAGUUGUUUCUGCUUAUUCUGCUCCAGUUGUUUCUGCCUACUCUGCUCCCGUAUACGGUGCUGGAUUGGGUUACGGAUACUCUGGAUUUGGAUACGGUCUCUGGAAGAAGAAGGCUUAAGUCGAGUUAGAUAAAUUGGAUUAUUGGAACGGAAAUUGGCUUUUAAAAUAAAUUAGAUCAUAUUCAAAAAAG